rnacentral:rRNA from 1 species
UACGGAGGGUGCGAGCGUUGUCCGGAAUCACUGGGCGUAAAGGGCGCGUAGGCGGCCUGGUAAGUAGGGGGUGAAAUCCUGCGGCUUAACCGCAGGGCUGCCUUCUAAACUGUCAGGCUCGAGCACGGUAGAGGCAGAUGGAAUUCCCGGUGUAGCGGUGGAAUGCGUAGAGAUCGGGAAGAACAUCAGUGGCGAAGGCGGUCUGCUGGGCCGUUGCUGACGCUGAGGAGCGAAAGCGUGGGGAGCGAACAGG